rnacentral:misc_RNA from 1 species
GAAAUGCGAUAAGUAAUGUGAAUUGCAGAAUUCAGUGAAUCAUCGAAUCUUUGAACACACAUUGCGCCCGCCAGUAUUCUGGCGGGCAUGCCUGUCCGAGCGUCAUUUCAACCAUCAAGCCCCCGGGCUUGUGUUGGGGACCUGCGGCUGCCCACAGGCCCUGAAAACCAGUGGCGGGCUCGCUGUCACACCGAGCGUAGUAGCAAUCACCUCGCUCAGGGCGUGCUGCGGGUUCCGGCCGUUAAACAGCCUUACAAAACCCAAGGUUGACCUCGGAUCAGGUAGGAAGACCCGCUGAACUUAAGC